UACGAAGGGGGCUAGCGUUGCUCGGAAUCACUGGGCGUAAAGGGUGCGUAGGCGGGUCUUUAAGUCAGGGGUGAAAUCCUGGAGCUCAACUCCAGAACUGCCUUUGAUACUGAGGAUCUUGAGUUCGGGAGAGGUGAGUGGAACUGCGAGUGUAGAGGUGAAAUUCGUAGAUAUUCGCAAGAACACCAGUGGCGGAAGGCGGCUCACUGGCCCGAUACUGACGCUGAGGCACGAAAGCGUGGGGAGCAACA
rnacentral:rRNA from 1 species